rnacentral:rRNA from 1 species
UACGUAGGCAGCAAGCGUUGUUCGGAAUUACUGGGCGUAAAGAGCGUGUAGGCGGCUUUACAGGUCCGCUGUGAAAACUCGAGGCUCAACCUCGAGCUGUCGGUGGAAACCGUAAAGCUAGAGUCCGGAAGAGGAGAGUGGAAUUCCCGGUGUAGCGGUGAAAUGCGCAGAUAUCGGGAAGAACACCCGUGGCGAAGGCGGCUCUCUGGGACGGUACUGACGCUGAGACGCGAAAGCGUGGGGAGCGAACAGG